rnacentral:rRNA from 1 species
AUGAACGCUAGCGACAGGCUUAACACAUGCAAGUCGAGGGGCAGCGGGGUGUAGCAAUACACCGCCGGCGACCGGCGCACGGGUGAGUAACGCGUAUGCAACUUGCCUAUCAGAGGGGGAUAACCCGGCGAAAGUCGGACUAAUACCGCAUGAAGCAGGGGCCCCGCAUGGGGAUAUUUGCUAAAGAUUCAUCGCUGAUAGAUAGGCAUGCGUUCCAUUAGGCAGUUGGCGGGGUAACGGCCCACCAAACCGACGAUGGAUAGGGGUUCUGAGAGGAAGGUCCCCCACAUUGGUACUGAGACACGGACCAAACUCCUACGGGAGGCAGCAGUGAGGAAUAUUGGUCAAUGGGCGCGAGCCUGAACCAGCCAAGUCGCGUGAGGGAUGAAGGUUCUAUGGAUCGUAAACCUCUUUUAUAAGGGAAUAAAGUGCGGGACGUGUCCCGUUUUGUAUGUACCUUAUGAAUAAGGAUCGGCUAACUCCGUGCCAGCAGCCGCGGUAAUACGGAGGAUCCGAGCGUUAUCCGGAUUUAUUGGGUUUAAAGGGUGCGUAGGCGGCCUUUUAAGUCAGCGGUGAAAGUCUGUGGCUCAACCAUAGAAUUGCCGUUGAAACUGGGGGGCUUGAGUAUGUUUGAGGCAGGCGGAAUGCGUGGUGUAGCGGUGAAAUGCUUAGAUAUCACGCAGAACCCCGAUUGCGAAGGCAGCCUGCCAAGCCAUGACUGACGCUGAUGCACGAAAGCGUGGGGAUCAAACAGGAUUAGAUACCCUGGUAGUCCACGCAGUAAACGAUGAUCACUAGCUGUUUGCGAUACAGUGUAAGCGGCACAGCGAAAGCGUUAAGUGAUCCACCUGGGGAGUACGCCGGCAACGGUGAAACUCAAAGGAAUUGACGGGGGCCCGCACAAGCGGAGGAACAUGUGGUUUAAUUCGAUGAUACGCGAGGAACCUUACCCGGGUUUGAACGCAUUCGGACCGAGGUGGAAACACCUUUUCUAGCAAUAGCCGUUUGCGAGGUGCUGCAUGGUUGUCGUCAGCUCGUGCCGUGAGGUGUCGGCUUAAGUGCCAUAACGAGCGCAACCCUUGCCACUAGUUACUAACAGGUGAUGCUGAGGACUCUGGUGGGACUGCCAGCGUAAGCUGCGAGGAAGGCGGGGAUGACGUCAAAUCAGCACGGCCCUUACAUCCGGGGCGACACACGUGUUACAAUGGCGUGGACAAAGGGAGGCCACCUGGCGACAGGGAGCGAAUCCCCAAACCACGUCUCAGUUCGGAUCGGAGUCUGCAACCCGACUUCGUGAAGCUGGAUUCGCUAGUAAUCGCGCAUCAGCCAUGGCGCGGUGAAUACGUUCCCGGGCCUUGUACACACCGCCCGUCAAGCCAUGGGAGCCGGGGGUACCUGAAGUCCGUAACCGAAAGGAUCGGCCUAGGGUAAAACUGGUGACUGGGGCU